rnacentral:rRNA from 1 species
GUAGGGUGCGAGCGUUAAUCGGAAUUACUGGGCGUAAAGCGUUCGCAGGCGGGCUUUUAAGCCAGACGUGAAAUCCCCGGGCUUAACCUGGGAAUGGCGUUUGGGACUGGGAGUCUGGAGUGCGGCAGAGGGGACUGGAAUUCCUGGUGAAGCAGUGAAAUGCGUAGAGAUCAGGAGGAACACCGAUGGCGAAGGCAGGUCCCUGGGUUGACACUGACGCUCAUGCACGAAAGCGUGGGGAGCAAACAGGAUUAGAUACCCUGGUAGUCCACGCCCUAAACGAUGUCGACUGGUUGUUGGGGGUUUGACACUCUCAGUAACGAAGCUAACGCGUGAAGUCGACCGCCUGGGGAGUACGGCCGCAAGGUUA